UGGGGAAUAUUACACAAUGGAGGAAACUCUGAUGUAGCAACGCCGCGUGGAGGAUGACACAUUUCGGUGCGUAAACUCCUUUUAUAUGGGAAGAUAAUGACGGUACCAUACGAAUAAGCACCGGCUAACUCCGUGCCAGCAGCCGCGGUAAUACGGAGGGUGCAAGCGUUACUCGGAAUCACUGGGCGUAAAGCGCGCGCAGGCGGCCCGUUAAGUUGGAUGUGAAAUCCUAUGGCUCAACCAUAGAACUGCAUCCAAAACUGAUGGGCUAGAGUCUGGGAGGGGAAGAGGGAAGUAGGGGUGUAGGGGUAAAAGCCGUAGAGAUCACUAGGAAUACCAAAAGCGAAGGCGAGAGUCUGGAACAGUACUGACGCUGAGGCGCGAAAGAGUGGGGAGCAAACAG
rnacentral:rRNA from 1 species